UACAUGUGGGGCGAGCGUUGUUCGGAAUUACUGGGCGUAAAGAGUGUGUAGGCGGUGUUCCCAGUCUGUUGUGAAAUCUCCCGGCUUAACUGGGAGGGUGCAGCGGAAACUAGAAUGCUAGAGGGUGGGAGAGGUAAGCGGAAUUCCUGGUGUAGCGGUGAAAUGCGUAGAUAUCAGGAGGAACACCUGUGGUGUAGACAGCUUACUGGACCACUUCUGACGCUGAGACACGAAAGCGUGGGUAGCAAACAGG
rnacentral:rRNA from 1 species